AACACUACUGCUACUACUACUCACACCGUUACCACGACGACUAACUAUACACAGCAAUAAGUGACAUACACAGAUUUGCCUGUAUGUGCUACUCCAUCAUUCUUCUCUCUCACGCUCUCUCAGCAAAUGAGAUCACAAAACAGAGCUAUGCAUACACAACACCUCUAAUAUCGCACACACACUUGCAAUAAUAACAGCCCAUACUUUCGUAAGUUUAAGAAGAAUACGUAGGAAGAGUUGCUAUGCAUCAUCGCACUGAUUUCAGCAUGUCACUGGUACUGCUGCAGUUAUGAUUCUUCUAGCCCCUUUCUCUCCCUUUCUCUCCCGCUCUUUCUGCAUAUGUGAGACAAACACAAAAGAUGGCUUUAUUAUACAGACUGCCAUCGCAACCAGCCACGUAAGCACAUGCAACUGUUUAUGCUUUCUUCCCCCCGCUCAGGUAAAAGAUGUAAUCAGGGCAUGAAGUAGCGAUACUUCGGUGUGGUGGACAACAUGAGCAAAACUAAAACCAAUACUAUGGAGUUUGCUACAUGUUCUAUUUCACUCGUUACACACAGAAAAGCACUAGUUAUGUAUAUCGCUUCGAUAACUACCAACACUUUAGCAGUCAUUCAGCCCGUGCUCUUUCUCAGUCUGAGAUACACAAAAGACACACAGAAGAUCAAACAAUGCACACGACUAACAAAUGCUAAUAUAUUCUAAGAUUAAGUCAACGAGCCCACGUUAAGAUCCAUCAGGACCAAAAGAGACAAACUCAGACAAAUGUGGUACACAGGUAUACGUUGCAUGGAGUCGAAACCAAUGAAAAACGCUUCUUUGUGAAUGUUCAACAUGCCAGAAAUAGCACAAAGUCUGCCUCGUGUUAUGGCAUACAUUGAAAAAUAGAAGAACACAUUGGAUAAUAUGUACCUAAAUAUACAAUGUUGAAAAAGAAGAAUGGGAUGGUCGCGGCUCUGUGUAGUCAGAGCCGACAUAGUACUAAAUAAUAAUAACAAUGAAGCUACUAAAACAUAUAUAACAGAAAAUAGUAUAAUACUUACAAGCUUUGUGCCAAAAUUGCCAAGACACCAACAACAACUUAAUAAGUUCUGAUCUGACAGCAUCACAUAGACAAGAUUCAAGGAUUGUUUCUUUUUUCCUUUUCCUUUUUUUUUUUUUUUUAUUAAUAAUCAGCCAGGAAUGCGUGGGGUUGGACCCAUCGUUGACUGGUACACCCAUUCAACCGUAGGAAUUACCAUGCUAGAUUUAGAUUAUAAAUAGAACCAACUUUCAAGCUGAUGGUCUAAGAUGCCACAAUUGUUGCAAUAGAAGUCAAAUUUUGUUUUAAAAUAUUUUUAAAAAAAAAAUAAAAAGUUAAUAAAAAGAAAGAACGGAAGAUAAUAACCAACAACUCAAACAAGAGAGAGUCGGAAUUGGAUUGUUCGAAAUUGCAACAUGACUUGUUCAAAUUCCUGUUUCAAUUCCAUUGUUGCUGAUAGGUCAGUAUGACAAUACAUACAUUACAUACAUACACCUGCACACACAAACAGCAGAAGAUACAAAAGGAACACCCAAGUUAUCAGCUUUCUGGAAACUAUUCGCAAUUCUGUAAUUAUUUACAAUAUGAAUGCAUAAAAGAGGAACUCAAUUAUUCAAAAGUUGUGAUAAGAAAUGUUCACUUGAAAAUAAUAAUGUGGUAGGUCAUAAUUCCAGUUGUCAUUAGCAUUUACAAUUUCUUCUAUUUUUUUUAUAGCACAGCAUGAGGCUGGUGGUGGUGGUCUGCUAUGUGAUAUUCUUCGGAUUGUACCAACUGUUCAUAUUUUCCGUUUCUGGACCCUUGGUAUUCGGGGCAAUGGCUAAACUACUUUUUUCAUCAUUUGCGUUACUUCUUUCUAUGACCCCUAACUCUUUCUCUUCUUGGCUCUCUUCAACUCACAAGACUGCUUAUAUCAACCAUUAAUGUCAUUACCUCUGUGAUCAUGUACACACACACACACACACACACACGCAUGCACACCUGUAGACAGGUGGUAGCGUAAAUAUUAAAUGUUAGCUAAUUGUUAAUCAGAGAAACAAGUCUCUCAGAAUGUUAAGAUAAGAAAUCUCAGCAUUAACUUGCAUACACUGCAGUAGUGAGUGGUGUGACUAUGUUCAGGGAGAGGGUGGAAUCACAGAAGACUAACAAAUGUAGUUUGAUUUAAAAGAGAAAAAAGAAGAAAUUAUGACAUCACAAUGCCAAGCAGCGUAGACAGUCGCAGAACAGCUGACCAGCUCAGUUUCAUUUAGUCAUUUAUUCAGCAGGGAGUGGCAUGAUGAGAAGUCUAAAACUGUCUCACAGCUACAUAUAAUCACACACACACAUACACACACGCACACACCUGUUGGUUGUUCAAAAUGUAAACUGAGUGAAAAAGGGGCAGAAAUUAAGGGGUAUACAGGGACACAACUUUAAACAAGACAUGGACAUAGAUACAUAUACACACACAACUGGCUUUGCAGAGUCACCGUCAACCAAAUUCCAUCUACAAGACACUGACCAACUUGAGGCUACAUGUGGUAAAGGACCAUGAAAUGGGAUCGAACCAGGAGCCAUGUGGCAGCAAUGCAAACUUCUUAAUCAUACAACUAUACAAUAUAGUGGCAUUGAUGACAAAACCAAGAGAAUCGCUAUGGUGAUUAUUAUGAUGCUGGUAGCAACAGUGUUGAUGAAGGCAGAUUCUGGCAGAUUUGGGGUCAUGUUAGAGAUGGGAACAAUAGAUGGGAAAAGAAAAAGGUAAAGUAAAAUAGAGAAAUGUUAAACAUCUGAUCUUGUAAUUUCAAAUAAAAGAAAACUUUGAAUACAGUUUAAAAAGAAAAGGAAAGAGAGGAUGAGAGAAAGAGUUUGUGUGAGUGUGUGUGUGUGUGUGUGUGCACGCACACGCGUGUGGGGAGUGGGGUGCAACAGAGACAGUCAGACAAAUUAACCGGAAAAGGGGUAGGGGAAAAGAGAGAAAAUGGAAGACAGAAAUAUGCACACGAAUGAUGGAAACAUACGGGAAUAUACACAUGGAGUAAAUAAAAUCAAAAAUUAGAUGAGGAGGAAAAGUGAGUGCUAAAGAUGGGAAGAGACAGGGAAAAUUGAAGAGCAAUGGAGAGUGUUAAAGAUGAGAGAGAUAUAGAAAUGAAGAGAAAGAGUUAGAGAGACAAGAGAGAGAGAGACAGACAGAGUAAAGCAUAUUGAAAGGAGAAUAAAUAAUAAAAAAAUUAAUAAAAAGGAAGAUAUAUGAAAACGCUCAGAAAGUUGCAAAAGUGAAACUGUGCGCCUAAAUGUGUGUGUGCGCACGUAUGAGAAUGUCAUCAGAGAUUCUUUCACAAGGUGUUUUUCCAAGUGUAAGCAUAUAUAAGAUAUAGUUUCUUUUAAUACAUAAGGUUUCUUUAGGUACAUACACGUGUGUGUGUG